rnacentral:rRNA from 1 species
UCGUCAGGAUGAACGCUGGCGGCGUGCCUAAUACAUGCAAGUCGAACGAGUUCUCGUUGAUGAUCGGUGCUUGCACCGAGAUUCAACAUGGAACGAGUGGCGGACGGGUGAGUAACACGUGGGUAACCUGCCCUUAAGUGGGGGAUAACAUUUGGAAACAGAUGCUAAUACCGCAUAGAUCCAAGAACCGCAUGGUUCUUGGCUGAAAGAUGGCGUAAGCUAUCGCUUUUGGAUGGACCCGCGGCGUAUUAGCUAGUUGGUGAGGUAAUGGCUCACCAAGGCGAUGAUACGUAGCCGAACUGAGAGGUUGAUCGGCCACAUUGGGACUGAGACACGGCCCAAACUCCUACGGGAGGCAGCAGUAGGGAAUCUUCCACAAUGGACGCAAGUCUGAUGGAGCAACGCCGCGUGAGUGAAGAAGGCUUUCGGGUCGUAAAACUCUGUUGUUGGAGAAGAAUGGUCGGCAGAGUAACUGUUGUCGGCGUGACGGUAUCCAACCAGAAAGCCACGGCUAACUACGUGCCAGCAGCCGCGGUAAUACGUAGGUGGCAAGCGUUAUCCGGAUUUAUUGGGCGUAAAGCGAGCGCAGGCGGUUUUUUAAGUCUGAUGUGAAAGCCCUCGGCUUAACCGAGGAAGCGCAUCGGAAACUGGGAAACUUGAGUGCAGAAGAGGACAGUGGAACUCCAUGUGUAGCGGUGAAAUGCGUAGAUAUAUGGAAGAACACCAGUGGCGAAGGCGGCUGUCUGGUCUGUAACUGACGCUGAGGCUCGAAAGCAUGGGUAGCGAACAGGAUUAGAUACCCUGGUAGUCCAUGCCGUAAACGAUGAAUGCUAGGUGUUGGAGGGUUUCCGCCCUUCAGUGCCGCAGCUAACGCAUUAAGCAUCCGCC